GACGAACCGAGCGAACGUUGUUCGGAAUCACUGGGCUUAAAGGGCGCGUAGGCGGGCCGUCAAGUCCGUGGUGAAAUCCUCCAGCUCAACUGGAGAAGUGCCUCGGAUACUGGCGGCCUCGAGGGGGGUAGGGGCGUGCGGAACUUCCGGUGGAGCGGUGAAAUGCGUAGAUAUCGGAAGGAACACCGGUGGCGAAAGCGGCGCGCUGGACCCCAUCUGACGCUGAGGCGCGAAAGCCAGGGGAGCAAACGGG
rnacentral:rRNA from 1 species